UACGUAGGGUGCGAGCGUUAAUCGGAAUUACUGGGCGUAAAGCGUGCGCAGGCGGUUUUGUAAGCCAGAUGUGAAAUCCCCGGGCUUAACCUGGGAAUGGCAUUUGGGACUGCAAGGCUUGAGUGCGGCAGAGGAGACUGGAAUUCCUGGUGUAGCAGUGAAAUGCGUAGAUAUCAGGAGGAACACCGAUGGCGAAGGCAGGUCUCUGGGCUGACACCGACGCUCAUGCACGAAAGCGUGGGGAGCAAACAGG
rnacentral:rRNA from 1 species